UACGAAGGGGGCUAGCGUUGCUCGGAAUCACUGGGCGUAAAGGGUGCGUAGGCGGGUCUUUUAAGUCAGGGGUGAAAUCCUGGAGCUCAACUCCAGAACUGCCUUUGAUACUGAGGAUCUUGAGUUCGGGAGAGGUGAGUGGAACUGCGAGUGUAGAGGUGAAAUUCGUAGAUAUUCGCAAGAACACCAGUGGCGAAGGCGGCUCACUGGCCCGAGUACUGACGCUGAGGCACGAAAGCGUGGGGAGCAACAGGG
rnacentral:rRNA from 1 species